rnacentral:rRNA from 1 species
GACGAACGCUGGCGGCGUGCCUAAUACAUGCAAGUUGAGCGCUGAAGGUUGGUACUUGUACCGACUGGAUGAGCAGCGAACGGGUGAGUAACGCGUGGGGAAUCUGCCUUUGAGCGGGGGACAACAUUUGGAAACGAAUGCUAAUACCGCAUAAAAACUUUAAACACAAGUUUUAAGUUUGAAAGAUGCAAUUGCAUCACUCAAAGAUGAUCCCGCGUUGUAUUAGCUAGUUGGUGAGGUAAAGGCUCACCAAGGCGAUGAUACAUAGCCGACCUGAGAGGGUGAUCGGCCACAUUGGGACUGGGACACGGCCCAAACUCCUACGGGAGGCAGCAGUAGGGAAUCUUCGGCAAUGGACGAAAGUCUGACCGAGCAACGCCGCGUGAGUGAAGAAGGGUUUCGGAUCGUAAAACUCUGUUGGUAGAGAAGAACGUUGGUGAGAGUGGAAAGCUCAUCAAGUGACGGUAACUACCCAGAAAGGGACGGCUAACUACGUG